rnacentral:rRNA from 1 species
CGACCGGCGCACGGGUGAGUAACACGUAUCCAACCUGCCGUCUACUCUUGGACAGCCUUCUGAAAGGAAGAUUAAUACAAGAUGGCAUCAUGAGUCCGCAUGUUCACAUGAUUAAAGGUAUUCCGGUAGACGAUGGGGAUGCGUUCCAUUAGAUAGUAGGCGGGGUAACGGCCCACCUAGUCUUCGAUGGAUAGGGGUUCUGAGAGGAAGGUCCCCCACAUUGGAACUGAGACACGGUCCAAACUCCUACGGGAGGCAGCAG